rnacentral:rRNA from 1 species
AUUGAACGCUGGCGGCAGGCCUAACACAUGCAAGUCGAACGAGUGGCGGACGGGUGAGUAAAGUCCGGGAAACUGCACGAAGGAGGGGGCUAACUACUGGAAACGGUAGCUAAUACCGCAUACCAUCAGAGGUGCCCAGAUGGGCUCAGCUUGUUGGUGGUGUAACGGCGCACAAAGGCGACGAUCCCUAGCUGGUCUGAGAGGAUGACCAGCCACACUGGAACGGAGACACGGUCCAGACUCCUACGGGAGGCAGCAGUGGGGAAUAUUGCACAAUGGGCGCAAGCCUGAUACAGCCAUGCCGCGUGUAUGAAGAAGGCCUUCGGGUUGUAAAGUACUUUCAGCGGGGAGGCGUUACCCGCAGAAGAAGCACCGGCUAACUCCGUGCCAGCAGCCGCGGUAAUAC